rnacentral:rRNA from 1 species
UUUACCGAGUGAGGGCCCUCUGGGUCCAACCUCCCACCCGUGUUUAUUUUACCUUGUUGCUUCGGCGGGCCCGCCUUAACUGGCCGCCGGGGGGCUUACGCCCCCGGGCCCGCGCCCGCCGAAGACACCCUCGAACUCUGUCUGAAGAUUGUAAUCUGAGUGAAAAUAUAAAUUAUUUAAAACUUUCAACAACUGAUCUCUUGUUUCCGGCAUCGAUGAAAAACGCAUCUAAAUGUUAUACGUAAUGUGAAUUGCAAAUUCAGAGAAUCCCCUAUUCUUUGAACGCACAUUGCGCCCCCUGGUAUUCCGGGGGGCAUGCCUGUCCGAGCGUCAUUUCUGCCCUCAAGUCGGCUUGUGUGUUGGGCCCCGUCCUCCGAUCCCGGGGGAUUGGCCCUAAAUGCAGCGGCGGUACCGCCUCCGGUCCUCGAGCGUAUGGGGUUUUGUCACCCGCUCUGUAUGCCCGGCCGGUGCUUGCCGAUCAACCCAAAUUUUUAUCCAGGUUGACCUCGGAUCAGGUAGGGAUACCCGCUGAACUUAAGCAUAUCAAUAAGCGGAGGAA